rnacentral:rRNA from 1 species
CAGUCGCCGCGGUAAUACGGAGGGUGCAAGCGUUAAUCGGAAUUACUGGGCGUAAAGCGCACGCAGGCGGUCUGUCAAGUCAGAUGUGAAAUCCCCGGGCUUAACCUGGGAACUGCAUUUGAAACUGGCAGGCUAGAGUCUUGUAGAGGGGGGUAGAAUUCCAGGUGUAGCGGUGAAAUGCGUAGAGAUCUGGAGGAAUACCGGUGGCGAAGGCAGCCCCCUGGGCCAACACUGACGCUCAUGCACGAAAGCGUGGGGAGCAAACAGGAUUAGAUACCCGAGUAGUCCCUGUCUCUUAUAC